rnacentral:rRNA from 1 species
UGCAGUCGAGCGGUAGAGAGAAGCUUGCUUCUCUUGAGAGCGGCGGACGGGUGAGUAAUGCCUAGGAAUCUGCCUGGUAGUGGGGGAUAACGUUCGGAAACGGACGCUAAUACCGCAUACGUCCUACGGGAGAAAGCAGGGGACCUUCGGGCCUUGCGCUAUCAGAUGAGCCUAGGUCGGAUUAGCUAGUUGGUGAGGUAAUGGCUCACCAAGGCGACGAUCCGUAACUGGUCUGAGAGGAUGAUCAGUCACACUGGAACUGAGACACGGUCCAGACUCCUACGGGAGGCAGCAGUGGGGAAUAUUGGACAAUGGGCGAAAGCCUGAUCCAGCCAUGCCGCGUGUGUGAAGAAGGUCUUCGGAUUGUAAAGCACUUUAAGUUGGGAGGAAGGGUUGUAGAUUAAUACUCUGCAAUUUUGACGUUACCGACAGAAUAAGCACCGGCUAACUCUGUGCCAGCAGCCGCGGUAAUACAGAGGGUGCAAGCGUUAAUCGGAAUUACUGGGCGUAAAGCGCGCGUAGGUGGUUUGUUAAGUUGGAUGUGAAAUCCCCGGGCUCAACCUGGGAACUGCAUUCAAAACUGACUGACUAGAGUAUGGUAGAGGGUGGUGGAAUUUCCUGUGUAGCGGUGAAAUGCGUAGAUAUAGGAAGGAACACCAGUGGCGAAGGCGACCACCUGGACUAAUACUGACACUGAGGUGCGAAAGCGUGGGGAGCAAACAGGAUUAGAUACCCUGGUAGUCCACGCCGUAAACGAUGUCAACUAGCCGUUGGAAGCCUUGAGCUUUUAGUGGCGCAGCUAACGCAUUAAGUUGA